rnacentral:lncRNA from 1 species
GCUACCGGGGGCAACUGCCCCCACCCGCCCCCCUUGGUUCCGCCUCUGAUUGUUAGUAGUCUGGUUGGGUAGGUUUUGAAAUUCUAUGAUGAGUCUAGCUUUUUUCUUUUUUUUUCUAGGCUUUAUAUAUGUCCACUCGUAUGUUAUGUUGUUUUUUCAUGGUUCAAGAAAAUAUGUGCUCUGAUGUUUUCCCGAAUUGGAAAAAAUGUUAUGUUCCAGAUUAUCAAAGUCAUCUAACAGGUAUGUGUAAGGAAUCAUUAGAAUUGUUCAGUGGAACAAUAGUGGUAUACUGAGUGACAGUGUGAAUUUAAGAGAAAAAUAACAUAGAAGUGCAGAUAGUAGAGAAUGAGGGAGAGAGAUUUCAGAAGAAGUAGGGAGCAAGAAAGCAAUCAAUAUAGCCAUCUCAGCUUAAUAUCUAGAAGGGACUCUAGCACAUGCCACUCUACAGCUCAGCUAUUUGAGCAACAAACUGCUGACAUGACA